GCCUGAACAUUAGCUGGGAGACACAAUGCUUAUUUACAGAGUCACAAUACUUAUUUACAAGGCAAGCAGAAAGUAGGGGAAGUCUGUGAGGAAUGGGAAUGAAAAGUGACAGGUUGUCCAAGAAACUAGAAUACUGCUGAUUCACCAAGUUCUUCUCUUUGAACUCUGCUUCAGGAAUACUUCCAUGUGUCUGUAGAGAGGACUCAGAAGAGGAAAGCAAGCAAGAAGGUCUUAUGCAACAGGUCUCAGAGGAUCUAUUUAUGCAUCUGCAGAGCUGAGCCAGACAUCUCCAAGCUUUCCCAGCGGAGGGCAAUUGCUGGAUUAGCUCGGUGCUUUUUUUCUGGAAGGCUGAAAUCAUGCAAGCUGUCAAGUCUUCACAUGUUGUUGAGAAGUGGGACCUCAAGAAGCAAUGGUGCUAUGAGAAGAACUGGCAAUGCCGUGGUGUCCUGUACCAAGCCCUUACCAGAAACCCUACAGCUCUGCCACACUGAAGCCUGAGGGGACCUGAUCUGAAGCUGCCAAUAAGCCAGCCUAGCUGCUGCUUCUGAGCAGACAUGGUCCUAGACAAGUUUCGCUUUCUAUCAAGGACAACCUGCUAAAGACAUCUCUGACUUUACAGAUGAUACCUCUGAGAGUAUUUUGGUGGGGUAAAGAGAGCAUAUGAAGGUAUAUAUUCCCAGAGCUGUCCCCUGCCUAGGCACUGCCUGGCUUUGCUUUACCUCGACUCUCUGACGACUGCCAAGACAUCUUAUUUUGCAGCUGAAUCUGUCCAGGUCUUUUCCUUUUCAGAGAACUCCAAAAGAUAAUUAAAAGAUUUCUACAUUGAAAUAGCCAGUCUUUAUCAAUAUAUAGCCAUCUAAUUACAAAUAAUUAUCUUCUUAAGACAGACUAGAAUAUUUAUUUUUGUAGAUUGGCUGUUUGCACCAUAGGCAGAGUGAGACUUAUCAGAAUUGUUGUGUCACCACAAGCCAUCGUGGUAGGACCCUCAUAAACAUUGCAUUCAGUGAAAGCUGCAGGGAGCAGCAGGAUGAAGCAGUAUCCUCUGUGACACUGUCAGAGUAACCAAAGAAAAGCUUCAGGUUUUGUUGCUUUCAAAGUAACACUUCCACAAGUCUAAAUCCCCAGCUACUACUGGGCUGGUGGGGCCAGAACCCUUCCCUGGGGGUAAAUGGUUAUAGGUGGUGUCUUCCUGGGUACCUGCCCGUGUGGGAGUUAUGCCAGACUGUGUCCCUAUGAGCAAGUUUCUCCCCCACACAACCUGAAUUUUCCUUGUGGAAUAAAAUCAUUUCCUCCUCAGGCUGAUCCUGAAAAACAUCUUUAAAAAGCUGAGGCCUGGUGGGGACAGUCUGUGACUGAGUUACACUGGGGAAGAGAAGUAAAGAAUACAGCAUCACCAGCAAGGUAUAUGGUGCAAUGAAAUUAGCAAUAAUAAUAAUAAAAUAACUUUCACUUGGAUUUCUGCUUAUCAAACUUAUCAAUAAUUUGUUUCAUAUUCCGUACAGUGAGCUGUAUUAGCAUGAUAAAAACAGAUUUCUGUCUUCUCUGAUGCCUAUCACAAUAAAACAGCAAUGCAGUGACCAUGUUUUGAGACUUCAGACUUGAUGAGUUUGGUUCAUUCAGAGAUACUUAUCUUAAAAAUAGUCUUUAUUAUGUUUUUUUAGUAGACAGUGGCUCUGAACUGGGACUUGGAAAAAUGUUCAUUUUGUAAUGGAAUUUUUUUUUUUUUGGUUAUAAGUUGGCCAUAGCCAUAAAGUCAAAUAAAGAGAGCUUGAGUGAGAGAGAAGAGGAAAAAAAAUCCACCUUUUGUUUGUCAAAGUGCAGUUAUGGGACAAAGGAAGACACAUUUGGGAUUCAUUUCAGGCUCAGGGUUAGAAGCACUCUUUUCUAAUCAGAAGCUUACAGGUGAGAGACAUGCUUUGUAUCUUUUAUGCCUUCCACCAGAACAGAAUCAGGUGCAUGCAUAAUGCACGAGGCAAGUACUAGUACUGAUGCAGAAUAAUCCAUAAAAUAUGAAGCUGAUGUUAUGAAUAAUUAAAGCACAAACACACUCAGAAACACCUGCAUGCAGCUAAUAGGAUGGGUUGGACUUGGCCUAUGGGAGUGAGAUAAAGGUAGAUUUGAACCUGUCCUCCUCCCAUUCGGGUGCACUCUGGGCAGAGUGCUGAGCACAUCCCAGGGCACCACUGCUCCCUCCCACCCACCCAGGACUGUUCUGGAUUUGCAGACCCCUGUCUGGGGAGUGAGUAAAUGCAGUGAAUUUCCUCUGCCACAGCUGCAGAGAGGACAUGGUAUUUGUUUACUUCAGAGAGAAUUUUGCUGCAUGUUUCCUUGUUAUAAUAUUGAAAAGGCUGAACUUUCAGUGUUCCAGUAAGUAAAUGGCUGUUUUGUUUAGAGAUAGCAAAGAAAGAUGAAAUAUUUAACUUUUAUCAAUAAUGCACCCUCUACGUAACAGUGCCCACAUCGACACAUAAUCUGUGACAAACUUUCACAGAUCCCCUGAUGCACUUGAGUGAAGCUCAAUUUUUUAUUUUUAUUUUUUAAACUUGUAUGAGAUGAAUAACUUCGGAAGUUCCCUGCAGAGAAGAGAGAGAGAAGGGCGAGAACUGAGCUAACAGUAUCAGCAGAUGAGAAGGUCAUAUAAAUUAUUACCGCUUGCAUGGCUUGUAUGCUAACAUGGUGUUACUAUUCUUAAUACUUUUAUGAGCUCUGUGGAGAUCCUGGGUCUGUUAUGCUAGACAUUGAUCACAGACUGGUAGAAAACAUCCUUGUCCUAAAGAGUUCAUUUUAAAUAGAGAUUAAAAAUGGUGAGGUCUUUUCUGAACUGUAAUGAACUUUUUUUGAACUUGAGUAAACCAGGAGUUGUUAGGGAAAAUGUAAAGAUUCAUAGCAGGGACUGAUUGUACUUUUACCUGAACUGAGCAGAAAAAGGUGCUAUCAUUAAGGAGCAUCCAAAAUGUUUUGUUAAUUCACAUCUGUUAGACUGAGUUGAAUGUAUUGGAAAAUACUCUCUGGGCUCUGGCUUAUUAUUUGUGAUAUAUCAAACUACAAUAUACUGCUUUUUAUACUGCUGCUCUUGUGAAGGAGUUCUGGCUGUGUGCACAACAAUCUUAGAUCUUUGUUAUUUAAAUACUUUCUUUGGUGUGUUGGAUCCUAUGAAUAGUAUGUCUGCACUCCGAUUUCAUGGAGAGAGACUGUGUGUUACUGAAAAACAUGCAGCUUUAGAACUUACAAAAUUACAGUGCGCUUGCUUGAUCACAGAGUGUGGUCUGAAUGCUCGAGGGAUUAGGUGGAUAUGGUACAGCUGACACAAGAGAUGCUGGGUUUUGAGUCUGGAUCAGUUGAAGAGAAAAAGCUCCAAGAGUCCAAGAAAAACAGUUCUUACAGUGACAGUUUGGUUGGCAUAUCUUUUUACGUGAGGGGAAGUUUUCCAAUGGUUUCAAAACUGUGAAUCAGUUUUGCCAUAAACUGUCUAAUACUGUUGUAUCCACUUACUUUUUCUAUUCUCAACUGAUAGAGCUGAAGUAUUUCUCUAUUUAAAUUAGGCUGUAGGCAUUAGACAAAAUGAAGUUAUUUUUUUCAGUGAAUUCUAAAACUAGGACAACAGUUCCUUUGGAAAAUGCUGCCUUUACCAAAAUACUGCUUGAAUGAGCCUGACAAAGCACAAAAUGAUUAUGUGUGAAUCUCCAGAUUAUUUUAGCAGACUAUUUUGCAGAACUAAAAGUUCUUAAAGAUUUUCUGCGGCUUGCCAUAUGGUGUCAGGGAUCAACAAAUGAACAUUUGUGUUUCUCUCCUGUGGUAAGACUAAACGAUGAAAUGCUUUAAUAUGACCUGUUUCUAGGAAAUAGCCAAUGACUUCUCCACUGCUCCAGAAGCCAUUAGGUACUAGGACUCAAUGCAAGCAUUCUCCACAAACCUCAGUCUUUAAUAAGGUAGACCUUCAGAUCUGUAGCAAGCCUUCAGACACCAUUAGAUAUGCUGUUCAAAGAAAAAACAAAACCCAAAAAACAAAUGACAGCAUGUUAUCAACACUCUUCUCAUCCUAAUCCAAAACAUAGCACCCUACCAGCUACUAGGAGGAAAAUUAACUCUAUCCUAACUGAAUCCAGGACAUAUACAUGUAUCCUCCCAAUUAAAAUAUAUAUAUAUAUAUCCAAACAACCCUGUAUGUUACUGUGGAGGAGGAUGAGCUAUCUUGAAACUCCCGACUUGAGUUUUCAGUCAUCAUUCUCAAUGGUAAAUGUUCUUCAUAACCUUGACACUUCUCCCUAUGUUAGAAGCUAAGGAGCUGCAUUGGCAAUGAGACAGACAAUGCAUCCAGCAUCUUUCAGAGGUUCAGAGGUAGUGGUGUCUUUCCCAUUGGCAGGUUAAGGUGUGGCUUGGUUUUCAAGACCUUCCCUAUCUUUCAAAAUAUUUUGUAUGGGAACAAAUUUCCUGGUAGUUCUGGCUUCCUGAAAGUGAGGAACAGAUUUUAGAAUGUAGGGUAGCCUUCAUAAUAGAAAUAGGGUAGCCUGCUGUAAUAUCUUUAGGUUUUGGACUGCUUGAGAAGUCUUCCUUUGUCACAGACCGCCUUAGAACUUCACAGGCAUCCUGUUGGCUGUACUGACAGAUAAGAUGUUCUUCACAUAAAUUACACUUAUAUAUAUAUUUUUUUCAAAGUAUUUCUUAUAAGAGAUAGUAAAUGAAUAUAAACAAGAUUGCAAAAUGUAAUCACCAUCAUACAGUCACAGGAAAUGACUAUAUGCAAGCAACAUGUACUGGUAAGAAUAAGGUUGUUAAAAGUGAUUUUUCUAAAACUACUUUAAUCUUUAAGUUUUUUUUUAAAUGAUGGUUUUACAACCAUUUCAAGUACUUUUUAUCUCCAAACCUGUUUUAAAAAGGACCAAUGUGUACUGAUGAAUUCUGCUGUAAACACUUUAAUAUUAAAAAGUAAUUGCUGUACAUACAAAGCAGCUGCUGAAGGGACAGAUAAAAUGAGCAUGUUUAUGAAUUAUUAUGUCCCCUUUCAAUAAAGAUUUGAAAAAAUGAUGUGUUGCAGUCCUGUGACCUCUGAGAAUGUAUCUACAUGCAAGGAAAAGCCAUACUUAUUUUUGCUGUCGCAACCACACUUCUAGGAACUC